UUCGAGUUCGUCCCGGGCGGCCGCGGGGCGCAGAACGCGGCGGAGGCGGCGCUCAGUCUAGCCCCACGGCUCGGCGGGCGGCCUGCGCUCGAGCUGCAUCCCUGGACGCGGAGGCACCUCCUGUGGUCGGGCUGGCGGGCGCGGCAGCAGGCCCCGGCCCGGUCCGAGAGGCGGGCACGCUUCUCACGGGUUGCGGGGCCCUUACUCCAUCACAGCGCCCGGCGCGGAGGCAGCGGCGACGGCAAGGACGGCAGCGCGGGCGUCGGCUUCCUGGAUCUAGUGCACCGAGCCGCGGCGGCGGCGAACGCUGCUGCUGCGGCUGACGGAGACCGCCGCCGCUCUCUCCAUAUCGGACGCGGGGUCCGGACUGAGCCUGGCUCUCCGCCCCGGCGGUUAGAGCCCGGCUGUUCCCUGAGGUGGCGAAGCGGCUAGGGGAGGCCCCCGCCCGAGAGGGGAGGGCCGGGGAGGAAGUGCGCGGGCCGGCGGCGGCGGGAGGGGGCGGGGAGCAGGCCCGGCCGGGCCGCGGCGGCGCCCCUCGCUCCUCAGUCGCUCACUCCGAGGUCACCAGGCGCAAGCGCCGCCCCCUCACUGCCCGGCCAUCUUCUCCGCGCCACACACACGGACGCCUCCUCCGCCAAGCACCACGGCCGCCACCGCCCACGACGCCCGGCCGGCCGCGGCUGAGGCGAGCGCUCACACCGACAGGCCCCGCCGCCGCCCAGCGCACACGGCAAGGCCCCGCCGCAGGCCCCUCCCCUCGUGCCUCGCCGCCCUCACCCCGACUCCACGCGCCACUCUAGCUCGGCUUCCCGCACUACACAGCUUCCUCGGUGACCGCCAACGCGGAGCCCCGGCUGGGUCGCGCCAUGUGACGCUCCGCCCUGGCCCCACGCGGCCUCUCCUCGCCCGGGCUGACCGCGAGGUGAGGAGAAAGCUCCGCACCGCCCCAAGCCCCGCCCUCGCGGCCUUUCUCCUGGAACCGAGCUUCCAGACGGCCGAAAGGGCGCUGCCGCUGCUCGCCUGCACCCGCCCGGCUCAGAAGGGAGGUGGCGAGCGACGUGGCCGCGCGCCCCGCGGGCGUUCGGGCGGCGUGGGCUCUUUAGAGGCCGCGGCCCACGUCGACGGCACCCUGAGGCCUCUAAGGCCGGAGCAGGCCGUCUGAAGCGGUGGUGCCCGCACCCACCUUGUCUACCCGUCAGAGCGGGCUCUUUCUCCUAGUGCUUGGAGAACGACGGACGUGAGCAGCCCAGCCUUCCAGGGCACUGAGCUCUCCACAGGAAUCCAAUUAAACAACAAAACUAAUCUCUUUUUCUGUCCUUUAACAGACCUCGCCUUCUGUAUGAACAGAUAAAGAACCCAUGGUCCUGCUUUAGAACCUAAAUCCUUGAAAGUAUUACCUGUUUUUUAAAGUAAGUUUUGACCUCCUGUUUUUGCAGGAGACCAAGGUCAGUGAGGUAAAAACAAAACCCUAAUUUAACGUCUGACUCCCCUCCCCUCCAAAAGAACAAAACCGUCUUUAAAAAUAGAAACAGCGUAGGAAUCAUUAUCUCUGGAUACACCAAAGCUCUUCAGCAUAACUUUUUGCGCUUAGUAAAUGCUCUAAACAUGUCUGCAAACGAAGAUUUAUGACGUAUGUAAAUCUUUUGUGACAAAAACAUUUUUCUUUUAGAGGCUUGCCACUUAGAGUAGAAAUGAAGAGUUAAGGUAGCAACAGAACCCAUAUAACCUCUGAUAAAUUCUAUUACCAUUUGAGGACAUUUUCUUUGGAAGCACUAGCAUACUAUUAGUACGAAGUGUUAAAAAUAAUCUAUUUUCCUAAUUUUGUGAAAGAAAGCUGUGCAAAAUGUAUUUGGUUAUCUUAUCUAGAAAAUGGCAAAUAGUUUAUAAAAUUCACUCUCUUUUAAAAGUCUGGUCUUCCUUUUCUCUUAAAUAAAUCUUUUCUAAGCUCACCUUCAAAUGAAACUGUUUUAAUAUACAGUUCUAUUUUUAUUCCAGACUCAAGUUCUUCUACAACACACAGGUUGUUCUUCCCCAGAGGACCAACACGGAGAGUGAAAUGAUCAGCACUGUUUCCAUUCAGACAGUACAAGUUAGCGGUCACCCUAGACAAGUGAUUACUUGCAGGGCCUUAACCUUGCUGAUUUUUGCAUAAACGGAAUUUUUAAAAUCUCUUGAGAUGUGCACAUCAGAUUAAGAAUAAUUAAUAGAAUAAUUAAGAAUAAUAGAAUAAUUAAUUCUAUUAAUGGUUCAUGUGUGAGUGUGUAAAAGAGAAAGAAGAGGCAGUUUUUUUUAGCUUUUGAAAUUGGUUGCAAAUACUGAUAGGCUAUGACACUCAGAGGCAAAGCAUCUCCACACUGAAAUACAUUCCUUGUAUAAUAACUAUUUAUUUGUCUGAGGUUUGCCUGAAAAGAAAACAAAUGAACUGUUUAUAUUAAAAGAAGUGCCUGGAUCAAAUAUUUAGGAGAAUUCAUAUGUAACUUAAAUCUUAAACUAUCAACUUAAGGUAGUUUUUUUUCAUAUUUUGUGUUUAAUUAUUAUUUGGAAGUAAAACUGUUAGGGUUGCCAGAUCUGACAAAAAUACAAAAUGCCAGUUUUAAAAAUUACUUAACUUUUAAUUUGAAAAAUUUUGAAUUUACAGAAUUAUUGCACAGAUAGUACAGACAGUUCUCCUAUAUUCUACAUCCAAUUUCCUCUGUUAGUAAGAGCUUAGUAUUGUGCAUUUGUCACAAUCAAUGAACCAAUAGUAAUACAUUAUUAUUAAUUAAAAUCCAUAUUUUAUUCAUUUUUCUUCAGUUUUCCCCUAAUGUUCCUUUCUUGAUCUGGGAUGCCAUCAAGGAUAGCACAUAACAUUUAGUCAUGGCUCCUUAGACUCCUCUUGGCACUUAAAUUUUCCUUUCAGACAAACAACAAAUACUUGUUUCCUUCUUAUUAUCGUUUUUCCUAUCCAUUUUGAAUUAAAGCUCCCCUUUUCUGUCUUUCAAGAUUUCCAAGGGCUUACCUCUUUGAUUGCAUUUAUCAUACUAAGUGACAGUUGUUGAUUUAGUCCUAUCUUCUCCCUAUUAUGCUAGAACCAUUUGAAGAGCAGUUUUCUGCUCUUCUCUCUCUGCCUUUAUCAUCAUUGCCAAGCACAGGGUUUGACAUGUAAUGGCUACUCAGAUCAGAUCAGUCGCUCAGUCCUGUCCGACUCUUUGCGACGCCAUGAAUCGCAGCACGCCAGGCCUCCCUGUCCAUCAUCAACUCCCGGAGUUUGAACUCACGUCCAUUGAGUCAGUGAUGCCAUCAAGCCAUCUCAUCCUCUGUCGUCCCCUUCUCCUCUU
rnacentral:lncRNA from 1 species